UACAGAGGGUGCAAGCGUUGUUCGGAGUUAUUGGGCGUAAGGGCGCGUAGGCGGUGCGGUAAGUCUGUAGUGAAAUCUCUGGGCUCAACUCGGAGUCUGCUGCAGAAACUGCCGUGCUUGAGUGUGGGAGAGGUGAGUGGAAUUACCGGUGUAGCGGUGAAAUGCGUAGAUAUCGGGAGGAACACCUGUGGCGAAAGCGGCUCACUGGACCACAACUGACGCUGAGGCGCGAAAGCUAGGGGAGCAAACAGG
rnacentral:rRNA from 1 species